CUGAAGAACCUAGGGCGGGCCAGAGGGGUGAAAGGGGAGGGGUUUCAUAUGAAAAGCGAUGAGGGGGCUGGGCGCCGGCCGCUUGAACGCCGCCCCUGGGCACCUUCAGAACCUAAUUAACAUAUUAAAUAAAAGUGUUUUUUCUUGAAA